ACUUUUAAAGGAUGAAAGUCAUCCAUUGGCCUUAGGAACCAAAAAUAUU
rnacentral:tRNA from 1 species